AGCAACCGUUGUUUUCUCGAGUUAAAAUGUCGGCGCUGGUUCCGGUUUAAAGUCUCUUUAAUUUGGGUCCGUUUGGGAUUAAUGUGGGGUUUAAAGGGUUUAAGUGUCACCCAGAAUCGGGUGGGUUACCGAGCCGGGCCUGUCCCGUCCUCCGGGCUUUGUUUAGGGAGGAGGCUGGAUGAAAAUGGCUGUAAAUGUGGAUGUCUGGAUGCUGGAGGACGGAGGCCUGCUCGGUCUGAUGAAGGAUCUGGACUCUGAUGGAGGAUCUGGACUCUGAUGGAGGAUCUGGACUCUGAUGGAUCCUCCAUGAGUCAGUUUAUCUGCUCCACUUCCUCUGAAGGCCUGAAUCAUCCGCAGGCUGCUGCUUUGUGCAUCACCAGACUGUUGCUCAACAUGCUGUUUUCCUGCAGGCCUGAACAAAUUACCAGAGUCUGACCAAAACUAAGGGUCUGGACCUGAUCCGCACAAGAACCGCUGACUAAAUGUCGAAAAAUCCAACAGACCUCUGUUGUUGUCGUAUGUUUUACAGGGAUUCAGUAGAGGAGAACUUUCAACGUUUGAGGAGGAUAGAAGCAGAGUGGUCUAACUUAGAAAACAUCUAAACUGAGUUUUAUAUCAUUCCUGUGGUAUUUUCUGGUCUAGAUUUUAGUGUCAGAGUGGUCUAACCUACAACCCAGAUACAGCGUUACAGUGAAAUGUUAGAACAUUCUGGAAAACACUAAACUUUGAACCUGUUUUUGUCCAGAGCUACAGGAAGUGGGUCAGACCACUCUGAUUCCAACCCUUAUUGUCCAAGAUGGCUCACAAAUGAUCCAGAAUUACAGACCAUGUUCCAGAAAUGAUCUAAAACAAUGAAAAUUUGUUCAGAAUGAAUUUUUUUAUAUGAAAAUAGUCUAGAAUGACUAAAAAUGAUCCAAAAUCAGUCUAAAAAUCAUCCAAAAGGACUCAAAAUUGGUCUAAAAUGACUUAAAUGAUCCAGAAUUACAGAAAAUGUUCAAAAAAUGACCUGAAAUGAUGGAAAUUUGUUCAGCAUGACAUGAAAAUAGUCUAAAAUGACUGUAAAAUAAUCCAAAAUCAGUCAGAAUUUCUGUCAAAUGAUUAAAAGUGAUCCAGAAUGACUGAAAAUAAGCAGAAUGGCAAUACAUUUAUCCAAGAUGCUUUAAAAUCAUCCAAAAUGACGGAAAAUUGAUCUACACUGAGUUGAAAAUGAUCCAAAAUGGCAGAAAAUCUCCCCAGUAGUACACAAAAGUUGUCAGAAAUGACAAAAAUCUUCACAAAAUUACUCAAAAAUCAACCAAAAUGAUUUCAGAAUCAUCCAAACUGACUUAAAUCAUCCAGAAUUCCACAAAAUGUUCCUGAAAUUAUCUAGAAGGAUGAAAAUUUGUUCAGAAUGACAUAAAAUAGUUAAAAAUGAUCCAAAAUGGUAGAAAACUUCUCAAAUGACUCAGACGUAUGGGUUCUGUAAAGCGUCUUGAAACAGUUUGACCUGUAUUUGGCGCCAUAUAAAUAAAGUUGAAUUGAAAUGAAAAAUGAUCCAGAAUGACUGAAAAUCUGCAGAAUGACAUUAAAUUUGUCUGAGAUGCUUUAAAAAUCAUCCAAACUUGAAAACUCUCUAAACAGAGCAGGGUUGUGACUUGACUGACCAAACAGUGAUCAGGUUUCUCCUCAGACAGUUCCUCCAUCGUUAGCGUCCUGAUUGUCCAGAUUCCAUCCUUUGUCGUGUAAACCAGCAGCUCCACCUCCAUGGUUGCCCUCAUUGUUGUCCUGGUUUCACAGCGUUCACAGCUGGAGACAGGCGAGUCCUGCUGGUUCAUGUUUAGGGCUGAGUACCGAACUUUGGUUCUUUAAUGGCACCGACCGAAAUGUUUCGGUACUAAUGAGUAUCAAAAUAAGCCUCGUCUUUCGGUUCCAUGUUCCGGUACUUAUCACGUGAUUAUGAUAAAGCAAACCUGUGAUUGGCUGUAACAUUACACGUGAUUGCAGCAAGCCGGAAAAAAACAUGCUGCCCGUUCACAGACAGGUUUCACGUUAGGUACACUGACUUUACUGCAGUUGUGUAGCGUGUCGUCGAAGUGGGAAAAGAUGCCUCUGAGGUCUAAAACGUGGCUCUACUUUUGUAAAGUGGACGCCAAUAGUGCGCGGUGCAGUAUAUGCCAAAGAACCAUCGUUGCUAAGUCAGGCAACACAACAAAUUUAAUGAAGCAUUUGACUGUGCACGGAAUCGAUUUAAGAGCGGAAAGUAGCUCCGUGUUCGACUACAAGACGAGCGGGCCGCAGCCACCCCCCUCCUCUCAGCAUUCAUGGCAGCCUGUGGACGUUACAGAGCGAGAGGUUUUACCACCAGACUCUGAAAGUACAGAGGACGGCGCCGUGUCUGAAAAACUGUUAAGUGAGAAAGUCCUCAGCAUGUACUGAACUGUACAUUGCUUGCAAAUGUUCUUUUGCACUGGAAAAUUAAACUCAAGAUGUGAAAAGUAAUGUGUAAUGCAAUGUUCAUUCUGUUAGAGUAUAUAUUGUAAAACUGGUAUCGAAAAAAGUAUCGUUUAGGAACCGGUAUCGCAGUGAAGGUAUCGGUAUUGGUAUCGAAACUUUUAGAUUGAUACCCAGCCCUAUUCAUGUUCUACCUGAUGUAACCCCCCAUCAGUCAGGGGGAGCUGAAGAACCUGAAGAAGUCCAGGUGGUUCCUACUGAAGCUCCUGUGAUCACCAGAAAUGAGUUUAAAAUUAUAGAGUGGUGAAGAUCAGAUCUGAUGGUUGGUCCUCCUCUGAUACUUAGAUGUUAUCCUGUUUUAGCUGCAGCACUUCUCUACAGCUCAAUGAAGGCUACUUCUAAAAAUAAAAAAACAUUUCAUAUUCAUUUAUGGAGGGAAUCUUCUAUGAUCUCUCCAGAAGAGGAGGCAGAGAAACCAACUUCAUGUCAGUUCCCUCAGCUCUGGUUUAGUAGCUGACAGAUGAUGGAUUAACUGAUGACAACAUGGAUCACUGAUGGAGCAGAGAGAGGUUUGUUCUCCUGGAUCCAUGGGAUUCAGGUCCUUCAGCUGCUGGAGCUCCUCAGAGGAACCAGACCAAGACCAGAACGGUUCUACUGGAGCUCCUCAGAGGAACCAGACCAAGACCAGACGGGUUCUACUGGAGCUCCUCAGAGGAACCAGACCAAGACCAGACGGGUUCUACUGGAGCUCCUCAGAGGAACCAGACCAAGACCAGACGGGUUCUACUGGAACUCCUCAGAGGAACCAGACCAAGACCAGACGGGUUCUACUGGAGCUCCUCAGAGGAACCAGACCAAGACCAGACGGGUUCUACUGGAGCUCCUCAGAGGAACCAGACCAAGACCAGACGGGUUCUACUGGAACUCCUCAGAGGAACCAGACCAAGACCAGACGGGUUCUACUGGAACUCCUCAGAGGAACCAGACCAAGACCAGACAGGUUCUACUGGAGCUCCUCAGAGGAACCAGACCAAGACCAGAACGGUUCUACUGGAGCUCCUCAGAGGAACCAGACCAAGACCAGACAGGUUCUACUGAGGACUUUAUCAGCUGAAGUGGUUCUGAUUCUGAACCAGCUCUAGACUUUUCCAGCAGAGUCUCACAUCUUCUGGCUUCAUGAGCUGCAGAUUAGUCCUGAGAAUCUGUUUGAAUCAGGAGGAACUCGGAUCCAUCCUCAGUAUUUUCACAUUUGGUCAUUUUCCGUGUUCAGUUCUGCUUUUAAUUGAUCCAAUUAAUGAUCGUCUUUAGAACCAACUGCUGCUGAUUUUACUGUUAGAACAAACAUUCUGGUCAUUUUGUGUGUCUUUGUAGUGUUGUGUUGUAGUGUUUUUUGUUGUUUUUACUGUUGUUUUGUGUCUUUUCAUGGUUAUUUUGUGAUUGUUUUGUGUCUCUCCGUGCUGGAUUUUUGUGUUUUUAUGGCCAUUUUGUUUAAAUUUGUGGUUAUUUAGUAUAUUUUCUUGUUCUUUUACGACUCUUUAUCGUCUCGUCUUCUAUCCUUUGAAUCCAUUUGUGGCCAUUUUGUGUCUGUGCUUGAUUUUGUGUUUUUACUGUUUUGUGUGUUUUUUAUGGUCAUUUUAAGCCUUUUUGUCAUUGUUAUCAAUCUCCUUGUGGUCAUUUUGUGUACAUUUGUGUAUUUUGUUUACACCAUCGUCUCUUCGCAGACAUUUUGCUUCUGUUUUCACUUUGUGUCUUUCUGUGGUCAUUAGGUGUAUUUUAUGGUUGUUGUACUUUUUUUUUUCUUUGUGUUUUUUGUGUCAUUGCAGUCGUUUUUGUCUCUUUAAUGUACCAAACAUUAACAGUCUCCCACUUUAAGUCAGAUAAUUGUCAGAUUUGCGGUUCCACCACGUUUGAUUCUGGAGUAAAUGUUGUGGGUCGAUGGUUUUCUGAUUGAUGGACGGCAGCAGAUUGCGAAUCUGAUCAGAUAUUGAUCUCAGUCUGUCACCAGCAGCUCAAAGUCAAACUGAACUCAGUCCUACUCUUUAUUUAACUGAUAUUAACGCAUCAGAGCAACAACUAGAGGCUUCAGCUUGAGGAGUUCAUCAUGACUCAGUUUAUUAACGUUAAGCUCACAUUUGGUUCAUUUUUCAAACUAAACCUUCAAGUUGCAUGCGAGUAGUUCAAGGACCGUCAGAAAGACUGAAAAGAAUCAGAUGGUUUUUGUUUUUACUGCUGAUAAAUGAGGUUAUUUUGGUGAUUGUUUUUGAAGAAUGGAACUGUGAUAUGAAGAUUGGGAGGACAGAGCCUUCUCCAUCGCUGCACCAGCCUCUCCACAUCCAAAUCCCUUUUAAAGACUCGCCUUUUUAGAGAUGUUUUUAUUGAGUAACACUGUAUUUUAUUUUAAUAUUAAAAUUUUGUCCAUUUUAAAUGACUGUUUGACUUUUAAACUGUCUUUGCUUUUAACUCUUGCUUUAUUUUAUUGUAUUUUAUGUACAGCAUCUUUGAGUUACUUGUAAAGCGCUUUCUAAAUAAAAUGUAUUAUUAUAUUAAGAUACUGUUAAUUACAGAGCAGCUGUAGCUCUGAUGAACCUGUGAUUCCACAUCUUUAUAGUGGUUAGUAGUUCAGAGAGUCACGUUAUGAUGCAGACUCAGUUUGUGUUCAUGAGCAGCUCCUUUCACAUCUAAACUACCCGUAGACGUCCACACAGCACAUGAUUAACCAGAACGUCUGUUUGUU